rnacentral:rRNA from 1 species
ACGGGUGAGUAACGCGUGGGAAUCUACCGUACCCUACGGAAUAGCUCUGGGAAACUGGAAGUAAUACCGUAUACGCCCUAACGGGGAAAGAUUUAUCGGGGUAUGAUGAGCCCGCGUUGGAUUAGCUAGUUGGUGGGGUAAAGGCCUACCAAGGCGACGAUCCAUAGCUGGUCUGAGAGGAUGAUCAGCCACAUUGGGACUGAGACACGGCCCAAACUCCUACGGGAGGCAGCAGUGGGGAAUAUUGGACAAUGGGGGCAACCCUGAUCCAGCCAUGCCGCGUGAGUGAUGAAGGUCUUAGGAUUGUAAAGCUCUUUCAACGGUGAAGAUAAUGACGGUAACCGUAGAAGAAGCCCCGGCUAACUUCGUGCCAGCAGCCGCGGUAAUACGAAGGGGGCUAGCGUUGUUCGGAAUUACUGGGCGUAAAGCGCACGUAGGCGGGUAUUUAAGUCAGGGGUGAAAUCCCGCAGCUCAACUGCGGAACUGCCUUUGAUACUGGGUAUCUUGAGUAUGGAAGAGGUAAGUGGAAUUGCGAGUGUAGAGGUGAAAUUCGUAGA